AAAGCACCAUGGCGGCUCCAUGGGUGCUAGAGAUACAUGGGAAGGGGCUCCCCCGUGUCUGCCCCAGUGGUGGAGAAAGCUCAGGCUUUCUUUAAUGGAGUCAUCAGAUCUGACAAGGGCUGAGCAAUCUGCCGUGGAGUGGACCCCAGCCUCUGGCUUGUCCUAGGCCAAGUAGUACAGUAGUUUCCCAGUAGUGGUUGGACAGCAGAGGGCCAAACAAUGCCUAAGAAUCCAGUAAAAGUCAAAGUGGGGCAAGCCCCAUGCAUGGUCCUGGGACUCAAGAACAACGCAAGGAGACAGUAGAAAAGACAAGAAAUAAGGAAAACAAUUCUGUCAAAUGUCAAGAUGGGCGAAUAAAGCUGUCUCGGUUUGUU